GUGCCAGCAGCCGCGGUAAGACGUAGGGGGCGAGCGUUGUCCGGAUUCAUUGGGCGUAAAGCGCGCGCAGGCGGUCCGGAAAGUCGGAUGUGAAAACCCGGAGCUCAACUCCGGGCGUGCAUCCGAUACUCCCGGACUAGAGGUAGGUAGGGGAGAUCGGAAUUCCUGGUGUAGCGGUGAAAUGCGCAGAUAUCAGGAGGAACACCGGUGGCGAAGGCGGAUCUCUGGGCCUUACCUGACGCUCAGGCGCGAAAGCUAGGGGAGCGAACAGGAUUAGAUACCCUGGUAGUCC
rnacentral:rRNA from 1 species